rnacentral:rRNA from 1 species
GAUGGACCCGCGGUGCAUUAGCUAGUUGGUGAGGUAACGGCUCACCAAGGCCACGAUGCAUAGCCGACCUGAGAGGGUGAUCGGCCACAUUGGGACUGAGACACGGCCCAAACUCCUACGGGAGGCAGCAGUAGGGAAUCUUCGGCAAUGGACGAAAGUCUGACCGAGCAACGCCGCGUGAGUGAAGAAGGUUUUCGGAUCGUAAAACUCUGUUGUUAGAGAAGAACAAGGGUGAGAGUAACUGUUCACCCCUUGACGGUAUCUAACCAGAAAGCCACGGCUAACUACGUGCCAGCAGCCGCGGUAAUACGUAGGUGGCAAGCGUUGUCCGGAUUUAUUGGGCGUAAAGCGAGCGCAGGCGGUUUCUUAAGUCUGAUGUGAAAGCCCCCGGCUCAACCGGGGAGGGUCAUUGGAAACUGGGAGACUUGAGUGCAGAAGAGGAGAGUGGAAUUCCAUGUGUAGCGGUGAAAUGCGUAGAUAUAUGGAGGAACACCAGUGGCGAAGGCGGCUCUCUGGUCUGUAACUGACGCUGAGGCUCGAAAACGUGGGGAGCAAACAGGAUUAGAUACCCUGGUAGUCCACGCC